UACGUACCGUACGAACGUUAUUCGGAAUUACUGGGCUUAAAGGGUUUGUAGGCGGCCAUGUAAGUGGGGUGUGAAAUCCCUCGGCUCAACCGAGGAAUGGCGCCCCAUACUGUAUGGCUUGAGGGAGACAGGGGUAAGCGGAACUGAUGGUGGAGCGGUGAAAUGCGUUGAUAUCGUUAGGAACUCCGGUGGCGAAGGCGGCACGCUAGACCUCUUCUGACGCUGAGGCACGAAAGCCAGGGGAGCGAACGGG
rnacentral:rRNA from 1 species